GUGGCGGGAGCAGGACGGUUGUCCGUUCUUUGUAUUUGUGGCUUCCAUGAUGGCAGCGUUCGUCCGUGCGUAUUGCCGCAGUUUGAUGUACAAGUGAGAGACAUGGACGGCACUAUAGUUUCAGGGUUCGUUAUGAAGACGUUUGACAAGUUGCUAAGUUGAGAAGUUGUUUGAGAACUCGCUACCAAUGGCCGAGUCCAGAACAACACUGGGAUCAGUCAAUGAAGGAUUUGCCAAGUUACAGCAGCCUCCUAUCCAUCACAAGCUUUUGGGCUGAACGCAGACAUGGUAAGCUGUAGUACUCUUUCUCUAAUUUCAGGUAAACCAGGGCCAGUGCAUUCAUUGCGUGGGAAUCAGCUUGUACACAUGGAUAGCGUAAGCUAGCUUCCAGUACGACAAAAAGGAUGCUGUGCCAGGGGUAACUGACUGUCUUCUGUCCUAUGCACUUUAAGAUUGCUCUCAGCAGAGUAUUACUCACUUCCAUCUUCUCAGUUCAGAGGAACAAGUCAGCGUCAUUUGCAAGGUAACCACAACAGUUCUUUCACAGCGGCCUGUCCUGCAGCAUCCCAAUGAACAACUACUGUACGACCCGUAUGGGAAUUUUUUUCAUGAGCAGAUCAACAAUGCCAAGGUUACCUCACGAAGAUCCGGGUGCCUCAAGCGUCGCUACCUUCUUGGGGGAAAAAUGAAAUAGACAACUAUGUGACAACAU